UACGUAGGGUGCGAGCGUUGUCCGGAAUUAUUGGGCGUAAAGAGCUCGUAGGCGGUCUGUCGCGUCGAUCGUGAAAACUUGGGGCUUAACCCUGAGCUUGCGGUCGAUACGGGCAUGACUGGAGUUCGGCAGGGGAGACUGGAAUUCCUGGUGUAGCGGUGAAAUGCGCAGAUAUCAGGAGGAACACCGGUGGCGAAGGCGGGUCUCUGGGCCGGCACUGACGCUGAGGAGCGAAAGCGUGGGGAGCGAACAGG
rnacentral:rRNA from 1 species